CCCUGACACCGUGAGCCUGGAGCCCCUCACCAGGUGCCGUGGGCUGCAGUAUCUCGCCCUGCCCGGCGGUGUCCCUGACGCCGUGCUGGACAGUCUCAGCGGCUGCCCCGGGCUGAAGUACCUUACACUGGGGGACCGCCAGCGGCCGGCAGAGACGGCCUUCACAGCAGCAGGGGUCAGCAGACUGGUGAAGUCGUGUCGGGAGCUGUGCCAUCUGUCCCUUCACUGCACGGCAGACACCGGCCGGGCCGUGCUGACCGCCCUGAAGGAGGCGGACCUGGGCCGGCGAAGUUAUGUCUGGCCCCGUACCAUCGAUCUCAUUGUCCCCGAGGAGCUGUACCGUCAGCUGAAGAGCCAGGAAGGCGAUAGGGUCAAAGUGUUGAAGUGGAGGAUUGAUGCGCUGCACUACCGACCGUGCACUGUGCAGUGAUGAGCUGACUGCAGAGAGGCCGAGCCAGUCGGCCGGGGCCGCCAGCUGACUGCUGCCGUGUGUGCUGCACCAGCCGGCACUGAGAGCGGCGCCGGUCAGCCGGCACACGGCCCCUGUGUUCGCUCUAGUGUAGUCAUGUAGUUGUAGUAGUAGUAGUGUAGAUGUAGUAGUAGCACACGGAUGUGAUGUAGUGGGUAAUUACCGGGCGGGUAUUGUGGGUAAUUGGACGGUAGAUGUGAUGUAGUGGGUAAUUACCGGGUGGGUAUUGUGGGUAAUUGGACAGUGAAAAGUGAUGUGCUGGAGAGACUACCGAUCAUGUCAUUACGCUAUUCUGUAUGUAGAACACACGUCUCUGACCGUCCGACUCGGUUCACCGCGCCUGGUCCCGGCGGCACGGCCGGCCUCGGUCACGUGACCGUCCCCCGGUGGAGUCGGACGGCUCGGUCACGUGACCGCUCCCCCCGGGUCUGGCUGCACCUCGGCUCGGCGGUGCUGAGCGCCGUGCUGAGCGUGUUGUGACACGUCCACACGGACAGCUCUACUCGACUACUGGCUAGCUGCCGUCCGAGCUGGCAGUAGACACGCGGUGCCAGUUCAGACGGCGGCCGGCCGCGCCGCGCCCGCCCGCUCCGGUCCCGGCCGGCGGCCGU